rnacentral:rRNA from 1 species
AGAAUCAACGCUGGCGGCGUGCCUAACACAUGCAAGUCGAACGAGAAAGUGGAGCAAUCCAUGAGUAAAGUGGCGCACGGGUGAGUAACACGUGACUAACCUACCCUUGAGUGGGGAAUAACCUAGGGAAACCUGGGCUAAUACCGCAUAACACCUACGGGUCAAAGGAGCAAUUCGCUUAAGGAGGGGGUCGCGGCAGAUUAGCUAGUUGGCGGGGUAAUGGCCCACCAAGGCAGUGAUCUGUAUCCGGCCUGAGAGGGCGCACGGACACACUGGAACUGAAACACGGUCCAGACUCCUACGGGAGGCAGCAGUGGGGAAUUUUGCGCAAUGGGGGAAACCCUGACGCAGCAACGCCGCGUGGAGGAUGAAGUCCCUUGGGACGUAAACUCCUUCGACCGGAAGAUUAUGACGGUACCGGAAGAACGAGCCCCGGCUAACUUCGUGCCAGCAGCCGC